rnacentral:lncRNA from 1 species
UCCUGAUCGUAUCGUUAAAUACUGAUCGACGACUGUAACCACCAUUAUACAGAAAUCUUUUAUAGCUAUGGCGUAAACGUGGGUGAUAGCCACUGGGCAUAUUUUCGACUUCGCCAGAACUCGUACAUAGUUUCGAGCAACAUACGAUCGUUUCGUUUCCUCAUACCAUAAAUACAAACCAUAACAUAUCUAACAAACAACGUAGUAUAAUGUACAUAACACCAUUAAAAUAAACUUCGUACUUGUUUAUUCACGCGCGCGCGUUAACUAAAGAACAUUAGUUUGUGCGCAGUUUUGUGCGCAGUUUUAUUUCGUGCGCAUGCUCAUGCGCACGCGCUUUUAAUAUAUUUUCUUUUACAUGAAUACAUCGAAUCGGAAGAUGGAAGUAUUCUUUGCAAAAUUUAUGCUGAACCAUAUUUUUUACCAACGAUGAGAUAAACACAUGGAUUUAUACAUAUAUAUAUUUUUCGCAUGUGCGUACACGUGACAAUUUGCUUACUUGAAAAUACUCCUAUACUUUGAAUGAUUAAAGCCUAGUUUUUAUGGUUUACGAGCCUCAUAACCUGUUUUUUAUGCGAUAUUAGCAUAACAAUGAAGUAAUAAACUAAAUCAACCUGUGAUAAUUGCUAUAUAGAGCAAGUAAUAUUAUGGAAGAUUCAUAAAUAUGCACAACAGUGGUUCCCAUGAUUAUUCUUAAUAUACGAUGAUAAUGAUUAUGGCAGUGAAACGCUAAAGUUCAUUGUACAAUGUUACAACAAAAAAAAAAAGAAAGAACGAGCAAGAGCAAAAAAAAAAUUAUCUUCAGCUUGAGAAAUAUAUAGAUCGAAACUGUACAAAAUAAUAAUACCAUCGAUCAAGCGGUACGGAACGAUCACGCGAAAGUAAGAAAUAUCUUCCACCGUACAAUUUUCCCCAUCGACGAAUGAUGCAGGUUCGUUGAUCUGAAUUCGAAUGAAGAUGUGAUUCAUGUAUUUCAAUCAUUCGAUGCAACAUUCUCUAUAUAGAUAAAACCUGUUCGUUUGAAAAUAUAUGCGUUUCUAGAGACUUUGAGGAAUGCAAGUCUCAUGUUAAAAACACGAAGGAUCGAAUACAUUCAAUGUAUUUUUAUUCAAACGAUAUUCUUGUCAUUUGAUAAAGAUAGACAAAUGUUUUUAUCAACUUAUUCGAUUUUCUAUGAUCAUCUUAUACAUUAUCUUUGUUAUUCUUAUUUAAACGAUUCUCAUUUUAAAUUUCAUUAAAAUAAUCAAUCAAUCAAUUCUUCGAAUGUGACCGAGAACAUGAUUUACAUAGAUACAUUCAAAGCCACAUUCUUGCGCUUGAAAUUCCACAAAGUAAUCAUACCUAGAUUCUCCCGUUCUCCGAAUCCUCCGCCUCCGGCUUCACACAGGUGCACCUGCAACAACACAAAUAAGCCUUUAGAUUAUAGUAUUCUACCUGUGCGAGCGGCUUGAUUCCGCACCAAAUACCAGGAAUCGAACGUACGCGAAUACUUGUAUAUGUGUGGAUGCAAAAGAAUGAUAUAAAAAAUUUGAAAAGAACAAUAAUCGUACUCGCGUUCAAAUAAGAUGGAUGCGGUAAGAUUGUGCAAAAGCACGUUGCUUUCCGCAACAUUGAAUUUUGCCGCAAUAUCCCCAACAAAGAGGACGAUAAUUUUUCGCGCUACGAUCUUCUGAUUGCGAGUACGAAAAAAUAUCCUGCAAAAUAUCAUUAGAAAUAAUAGGAGAAACGGCGUACACAAAUUCUCUUGAUAAGUAUAUAAAGUUUCGAUAUGCGAAAAGAAAAAUGAAUUGGCGAACGAUAUCGACAUCGAAGAAGAACGCACUGUGUAUUUGCGUGUAUGUACGUGCAUGUGUUCGCGCUUGUUCUCUCCCACUAUCCACAAUCUGAAAGGAGCGCGAACUCUCAAUAAAACCGCUCUACUUCGACAAAUCGCCUUAAUUUCAUCGUCAAUAAGCCCGAGAAACCCGCGCCAAGUAUGCCGAUCACCGUCUCUAUACACCGUGACUCUGUUACGCGACCGCUGUGCAUGCGCUUGUAUGCGCGUAUAUACGACUUACAUAGACGGUGGGGGCACACACGCGCAGUAUGGCAUGCCGUUGGUGCAAGCCGCGUGAGCGAGUUUAACGAAUCUGAAGCAGAGAGAGAAAGAGAAAGAGAGAAAGAGAGGGAGGGAGAGAGAGAGAGAAGAGAGUGAGGCGGGCGUCUCGGUCGAGUAUUCCAGGUUAAUUUUACCGAGCCCUAAGGAGCGCAUGCGAAGGACCGGCGAAGGAUAACGCUAGCGGGGCUCAUCGGUUGGACGCUGCUCGAAGCGAACGAAGGACGCCCGCAUUCCACGCCGCAACCUGGUAUAAUACGAGGAAUUGGCCGAACAGAGCGAGAGAGGGACAGAGAGGCUAAGAACGGGCUUUUUCUGCAUCGGAGAAAGAAGACGAACGGAUCACAAGCGAGACAAAGAGGAAGAGGAAGACGAAGAAAGAUGAAAGAGGGAGACGUAUACAUAGAAAAAGAGAAGGAAUCACAGUGAAGCAACCAAGGAGAGGCGAGGAGUUGUGUCUGCAUCAUUCCUCUCUCUCUCUCUCUCUCUUUUCUCUUUCAUCCGCUUUCCCCUCGUAAUCAUUCCUCCACCAUUCCAUUCCUUUAUCUCCUUAUUCGUUUCAUUCUAGUCUCUCUAUACACGAUAUACUUCUACAUACUCUUCUUCAUGUUCGUUAGUCUCUUCUUUAUCUCUUACUCUUUAUUACUCGUCUUUUUAUCCAUCCCUAUCUCUUCCUCUCGUUCCUUCUCCACUUUCAUCUUUUUCUUCGUCCCAUCCUCGUCUUCCCUUCUUUCUUUGUCCUCGUUCCUCUUUCCUCGCCCCACUGUUUGCGUAUGCGUGCGUGUACGUGUAUGGACUCGGUUGAACCGCGUGCCUCCAGCGGAAGUAAAUCACCACAGCGUGCACACGCUGGUAUCUCUCCACAAGAGCGUUCUAUACAGUUUCAGCCGGCGUUCCUUCCUUCGUACGAGAGCGCGUAACUGGGAUUCCUCGUUUUGCGAGCAGGCAGCUGCAACUGGGUAGCCGCACUGGAGUAGGUUAUCGCCGUCGUGAGUCGUGGCUUUCACCACUUUGCCGGCCACGUCGCGUUCUCUCGCGCGCCGACAGUCACGAUGACAAGAGAAACGGAAGGUUACACGGGGCCCUCCACCGUUUCUUUUCCCCCUGAUUGCCCGUGAUUUCGGAUUAGAUAAGCGGUGUGGAAUUUCGAUGCCUGCCGGGGCUUUAACACAACUCGCUUGCCUCGACCCGUAGAAUUGUUAUACCAAUAUUUUCAACUCUCGUAAAGCUUUCGUAAAAUUUACAUAAAAAUAUUUUACAAAAUAUUUUUCUUCCAUAUAUGAAUAAUUAUGGAUAAUUAUUUCGUAGAUCUAUCUGACGCUUGAAUUAAAUCUGCGGAAAAAUAUAGAUUGUUGUUAAAAAUACGAUUGAGAAUGCGAAAGAAUUUAAUGAUGUGAAACAGAUAUUUAUAAAUAAAUUGGCCUCGAUUUUCUUUUUGCUUUA